UACGUAGGUGGCAAGCGUUGUCCGGAUUUAUUGGGUUUAAAGGGUGCGUAGGCGGCUAUGUAAGUCAGGAGUGAAAGUUUGCGGCUCAACCGUAAAAUUGCUUUUGAUACUGCAUGGCUAGAAUUAGGUUGAGGUUAGCGGAAUGUGGCAUGUAGCGGUGAAAUGCAUAGAUAUGCCAUAGAACACCAAUUGCGAAGGCAGCUGGCUAGACCUUUAUUGACGCUGAGGCACGAAAGCGUGGGGAGCGAACAGG
rnacentral:rRNA from 1 species